GCACUUGGAUGUGGUCACAUCAUGUUUGAACUAUCUUGGGGCUGAGUUAACGGAGUUUUGUCCUCCUUGUGAAGAAUUCUAAUUUGGCAAGUGGAUUAAAAUCAUCUCAUGAGGAAUCACUUGCCAAAGCAUCAAUGUUUAUCCUGAAGAAGAGAAAACGAAGGAGUCUGUGUCUCCAAUAUUUGAAAAACUCAUUUGGAAGUGGAAGAAGACUUCAUCUAUGUUGCCUUAAAGGAAGAUCUUACAGCGUGAAAGGGAAGCAAUGCAGAAAUCAGAGUGCCACGGAGGCGUUCAGCUGAGAAACAGAGGGGCAGAUAACUGUGAUCAAAGGACAUCAUCGAGCAUACAAAUAAAACAUAGGACUACAGUUCAACAAGGCAAAUCCUCAUCAUCAACCAGUUCCCCAGAGUCCGCAAGAAAAUCUCAUCCUCGACCAAGUGAUAAACUUAACCCUAAGACAAUUAACCCGUUUGGUGAACAGUCCCGAGCCCCUUCUGCAUUUGCGGCUAUUUACUCUAAAGGAGGUAUUCCUUGCAGAUUGGUCCAUGGUUCAGUGAAACACAGAUUGCAGUGGGAAUGUCCUCCUGAAAAUCUUCCAUUUGAUCCUCUUCUUAUUACUUUAGCAGAGGGUUUGAGAGAGACUAAACAUCCAUACACCUUCGUGUCAAAGGAGGGAUUUAGAGAAUUACUUUUGGUCCAAGGAGCUCCUGAAAAAGCUGUGCCUUUGCUUCCAAGACUGGUUCCUGUGCUAAAGGCGGCUCUGGUACACCUGGAUGAUGACGUGUUUGCAAGAGGUCUGAAUGCUCUCGUGCAGCUAAGUGUCGUCGUUGGUCCUUCUCUGAAUGACCAUCUGAAACAUCUGCUGACAAGUCUUUCCAAGAGACUGAGGGAUAAGAAAUUCAAAGAGCCCAUCACCAGUGCAUUACAGAAGCUAGAGCAGCAUGGUGGGAGUGGAAGCCUUAUCAUCAUCAAAUCUAAAAUUCCAACAUAUUGUUCCAUAUGCUGUUGAAGAAAGGAGCCCACAAAAAUCUCCUUACUUCCUGGUGACAGUUGUGAAAUGCUGGCCAUGGGCACCUAUGGCAUAGCCCUCAGUGAUGGUGUUGUAGAUGCUGACCCUGGAUCGCUCUACAAGAGAAAGGAAUGGAGUGAGAAAUAGAAAACCAGAGUACGACUUCCCAUCCUGAGGGCAAGAAAAGGCUGUGGGGACAUGAGUAGCCACCACACCGAAUCUAAAGCAGAUUUUCUUUGGGAGGGAUGAAGAUUGGGGAUCACUCCUUUCUGCAGGAGCAGCCGUCUUCGGUCUCAGCAGCAUCAGAGACCACCCUCUCGCUCCUUCUCUCAAAUACACGGAGUGACCUCUUUGCAGUUCUCACCUCAGAUACAGUCUCACAGCUGGGAUGUCAAAGAACACAAGUAAUUUCUAAGGAGUCAUAAGUGCAGAAAUGCCCAUCGCCCCUCAGAGCUCUGGUCCUUCCCAGUCCCCCCGUCUGGGAUACUCUUUCCUCAGGUCUCUGCUCCCGUCAUGUCCGCAGACCACAUGAGCUAAAACACCCGCCAGCCCACUGGUCUUGCUUUUACUCUUCUUCAUCGCACCCAGCCCCACCCUGAGGCAAACGUGCACAUGACCUGACGGUGCCAAAAGAAGGACAUGAUAUUUUCAAUCUGGUACUUAACGCUUGUUAGAAUAAAAAUACCUGCAACAUGGACAGCAGAGUUAGAAACAUUUUAUUUGCUUUUAGUUUUCCUUUUUGAAAUACAAAAUGUGCACAUUGAGUUUACACAAACACGCGAUGGCGGAUUUCAGUGUACAUGUACUGUACUACUCUGAAUGUCUACACUGGUGAUAGCAGGGCGGCUCUCAAUAUCCUAUCUCUACACCAGAAUAGAUACCUGAUUGAGUGUUGCAAGGACAGUCGCUAAUUUCCUCCCACUGUAGCCUCUCGGUCUUUGUGGUAUUUCUGCAAAGUAGGGAAGGUGUGUGUAUCCUAAGUGAUGUUGUGGCCACUUGACAAUUUUGGCUUAAGAUCAUUGAAGAGAAUCUGAAUUGCUGGAGUGUUACGAUGAGCUAAAUCAUAAGACAGUCCAGAUGAAUUGCUUAGCAUUUAUUUUCAUCUUUAACGAAGUUUUGGUAUGGUAGUUAUUGAUAAAAUGGAGUCACUGAUGCUUUCAAAGUGAAUUCUGCUUGCUCUUUGUUCCCUGUAGGCCUUGGGGUAGUCCAGGUUUCUUUGUCCCUGAAUGGCAUGUAAUAGAAAGGUGUCUUGAAGGAGUCGAGGGAGAGGGGAUGGAGUAGGUCCUCAAUGCUGUUAGGGAUUACUUGUUACUAAGCAUUACCAUGUAACUCGAGGACAGAUACCCUGACCCUUUGCAUAUGCCUAUAAACAUCCUUGCUUUGUUCCACACCUUCACGGACUUCCACUUAGUGACAAGAUAGAAAAUAGGCCACCUGUAGGAUUGAACAAAUCCCAAAUUAUAUAUAUCAUGUAGGCCUUGGCUAUAAUAUGUAUUAUGAAAAAUUAAGAAAUGCUUAUUAAAUAAGCUUUAUUAGGCAUAUGCUGACAUCUGGUGAUAAACUAAUUUGUUUCAUGUUGUAAAAAAUGCCAGAUAAAUGAAUAUCUUUAACAGAAAGCAGCAAAUCCAUAGAAACUGGGACUGUGUGUUUGCUUGUUACUAAUCAUAGUAAUCUUGUUUUGUUUACUUAGUGUAUAAAUGGAAUUACAGCAUACAAACAUGAAAAUUAAUUUCUGGAAAUUAAAUGCAGAUGCCAAUAGUUUAGAAAACCAUUUAAAAUCCUGGGGCUGAAUACAUACAGUUGAGUAGCAAAAAACACUGAUAUUUUAAAAUCACUGGUAAUGGGAAAGCUGAAUAAUCCCAUGGCUAAAGAAUCAGUAAAACUCUCUGCCAGAUUCUGUACUUUUGAAGAGUCACAGGGCAUGAAAUGACUUAGAACAUCCCAUGAACUCAGUGGCAUUAUGAAAAGGAUGCAAAGUUGUAACUGGAAAACUCAAAUCUUUUGGGGAUUGCUUUAUAUUAAAACAAAGCUUGUUUGCAUAAUAUGCCUCAGUGUAAAGCUGAGCAAUCUAUGCUAAAAGUGGUAGCUCCAAGUUUAAGUGUGGUACAAUAGUUCACAUUUGUCUGUUUGAGGAUGCAUUUGACAAGUUAAAUCACAUUUUCAAAGAGCUGCAUGGAGCGCAUGAUGUUUUCAUCCUGUAAGGGAGAAACACAGUGGGAUUAAAUUAAGCGUAGCUGCAAGGGCAAGUACACUGUUCUGCUCCUGAGUACUGCCCGCCCCCCACUGCGUAUGCCAAAAGCUCAAAUACUAAGUGUUUGCACAUACAGAUCUCAUUCUAUCCCUUUUUCAUCUAGAUAACUAUGGAGAGCCCAUUUUACAAAUGUAAAGUCUGCAAGCUUUCAGUAUUUCAUUUGAAUCUUACUUGGUGUCAAUAGGGAUUUUUUUUUUUUCUUCAAAUUAGAAAACCAGAAUGGAAACUAGAGAGGCGUAGAGAGUAAGAAAAAAAAAAAAAAUGGAGCAAAUGCAAAAUUUUGGCAUUCCAGGUAGAUCACAGGCCAAAUCACAGAGAUUUGUACAUGUAGAAAGAAGCAGGGUUUGUGCGCGAGCCAAGAGCCAACUUCAUUCAGGAUUGGAGGGGGGGCUUGGGAGACAUGUUUGUAGUCAUUUCACCUCUCUUUCUGGGUCUCUUAGGGCUAAAUCUGUAUGGCCUUCAGGAGCCUUUAAAAAUGAAUGUUCUCAUGGGGUGCGUGGGUGGUGCAGUUGUUUGAGCGUCUGACUCUUGAUUUGGGAUCUGGUCAUGGCCUCACGGUUCCCCUGCUGGGAUCAAGGCCCACGUUCGGCUUUGCUCUGGUGGUGUAGAGCCUGAUUCUCUCUCUCCCUCUCUCUCUCUGGCCCUCUUCCUGCUCGCGUGCUUGCUGUCUCUCUCUCUCUCUCUCUCUCUCUCUCUCUCUCUCAUAAACAUUUAAAAAAAAAAAAAGUGAAUGGUCUCUCAGUGCCAGAGAAGGGACUGUUGAGAGCAACCUUUGGACAGUGGCUGUGUGCAAUUUAGCAUAUUCCCUAGAAACUGAAGAGCACAGAUUUUGACAUUAUAGGGGCACUUGGAGAUUGUAUAUGAAUGGCACUCAGUGAGCUGUUGACAGCGAUGAUAACUAGCUGAACUUGUGCCGACUUCCCCUGCUAGUAAUUGCAUCAGCCAAGUACGUAACUGCAUCAGCGGACUGAUACCACCAAACUGAUCCUUGCAAAGGCCGCCACAUCGAAAUGUGAGUUGAGAAACGAGCAGGCGCCAACAAAGGAAAAGUGUAUCAACUUGAAAAUGAAGAGAAAAGCUAAAGAUCAACAAACCUCAUCCUCUCUGUAUUUAUUUAAAAAUACUCAUUCUUAAUUGUGGCUCUACCCAUGCAUCAAGUCAAAUAACUUUAGGUAAGCUAAAACUAAUCUCCCAUCAGACAAUGGAGAACCACUUGGAUUUCUCCUCUGAAUUUUCUGUGCUUUGUUUUUUAUGACUGAGGGCCAUUACUGGCGCAGCCAAAGAGCCAUUUCGGGUGCGCCUACGUUAAAGCAAGCAACGCGUUUCUCUCAGAAAUCGGAUGCAAACUCGGCCUGUGAUGUACACUUGGCUGUACUGGAAUCAUACAUCUAUGGAGAUAAUAUGUUAUAUGCUAAGUUUAGGCAAGGAGCAAUUCAAAGCUCACGUAUGUUUUACCCUCAGUAAUGAAUACUCUAAAGGAUUUAAGGAAUGAAAAUGCAGUAUACUUGUAAUAGUUCUAUCUUUAGGGCUUUCUGUGUGGCUCUCCUAAGGGUAGGCACUCUAUAAAUGUUAAUUAAUGAACUAUAAUUAAGUUGACAAUUGUUUUUAGAGUGGUAGCUUCUCUUAGCUGCGUACGAAUGGUAAGCUUAGGUAAAGUUUAUAUUGUGCUCAGUUCAUGGUGGCUAGCUGACUUGACUUAGUCUGGCUGUUAUGAAAGCAAAAGGGAUAGUUUCUUUACUACUAUGAACUUACUUUUUGGCAACUUUCAAUGAACUCAUCUAUGGUAACGACUCCAUCUUUGUUUUUGUCCAUUUUCUGUUUGGAAGAAAAGAACAAGAAACUUUAUUCCGACUUAUCCCUUGUUACCCUGACACUUGAAGCGAAUGAAAAAUCCACCUGCCUGUUUUAUGGGGAGGAUCUGCUUCAUUCUUAGUGAUAAGAAUCAUAUGACCAACUGCUGUUAAGCUGUUCCCUUUUCAAAAGAAUGUGGUGGAGAUCUAGAAUUGCUGCCCUACAUAAAAUCUGGCACUCUAGCUCUGACAGAGUUCAGGCAGUUUGCGGACACUUUCAGAGCCUUGCUUUUUUCAUCUGUAAAUUGAGGCUAAUGAGGAUUUAUAACUUUAAGGAUUCUUGUGAGAAUAAUUGAAAACAAACCCAGAAACAAACAUGUGAAACACGGCAAUUCCUUGGUGUUCUUUGCAGGAUAUAGUGACUAUUCACUAAGUGUAGUUAUCAGUAUUAUAAUGCAUUCAAAUCCAAAAUUAUUAAAUUAGUAUGAUACUU